AGAGUUUGAUCCUGGCUCAGAAUCAACGCUGGCGGCGCGCUUAACACAUGCAAGUCGCACGAGAAAGCAGGAGCAAUCUUGUGAGUAAAGUGGCGUACGGGUGAGUAACACGUGGAUCAUCUACCUUCUAGUGGGGCAUACCUCUGGGAAACCGGAGAUAAUUCCGCAUAAGCUCGUAAGAGGAAAGCAGCAAUGCGCUGGAAGAGGAGUCCGCGGCUGAUUAGCUAGAUGGCGGGGUAACGGCCCACCAUGGCGAAGAUCGGUAGCCGGCCUGAGAGGGCACACGGCCACACUGGCACUGAAACACGGGCCAGACUCCUACGGGAGGCAGCAGUGGGGAAUCUUGCACAAUGGAGGCAACUCUGAUGCAGCGACGCCGCGUGAGCGAUGAAGCCCUUCGGGGUGUAAAGCUCUUUCGACGGGAAAGAUGAUGACGGUACCCGGAGAAGAAGCUGCGGCUAACUACGUGCCAGCAGCCGCGGUAAUACGUAGGCAGCGAGCGUUGUUCGGAAUUACUGGGCGUAAAGAGUGUGUAGGCGGUGUUCCAAGUCUGGUGUGAAAUCUCCCGGCUUAACUGGGAGGGUGCGCCGGAAACUGGAAUGCUCGAGGGUGGGAGAGGUAAGCGGAAUUCCUGGUGUAGCGGUGAAAUGCGUAGAUAUCAGGAGGAACACCUGUGGUGUAGACAGCUUACUGGACCACUUCUGACGCUGAGACACGAAAGCGUGGGUAGCAAACAGGAUUAGAUACCCUGGUAGUCCACGCCCUAAACGAUGCAUACUUGGUGUGAGCGAUUCAUUU
rnacentral:rRNA from 1 species